rnacentral:lncRNA from 1 species
AUGUUUACCGCUGGAGAGAGGAGAUGGAUUGUAGCAGCCAAUUACUACCUCACACAGCCUGAAUGGCGACCACUCGAGGACCCGCCCCGGGCCUCACUGAUGAAUCCCAGAUUGCAUUUGGCACUGCCUGCCUCCUGCCUCACCAGUGGAUCAGGGACGGGAAAACAGAAGAGGGAGGACCCAAGGGAAUCCAUAAGCUUCCCCAGAAUGAUUGCCAAAGAACACAGCAAGGAUUAAGAAUUCUGGGACCUCCCAGGUAAGUGAGCUAUAAUAUUUCUGCUCUUCGAGGUCUAAUGUUCUUUUAUCUGUCAUGUUGUCCCUGGGUGUUUGCAUAGGUGAAGGGGC